rnacentral:misc_RNA from 1 species
GUGAACGCCAUCGGCCUGUCAUGCCGACAGGUCGUAAACCAGUAAAUAUCCCAACUCAGCGGUGCGGUGCCGUGGGAAGCCUUGCCGUUUACGGCAAGGAGGAGGUCACACAGUACACGCAG